rnacentral:rRNA from 1 species
GUUAUGUUCUUGAAACUUAAAGAAUUUGGCGGUAUCUCAUUCCUUCCAGAGGAAUCUGUCUCGUUAUCGAUAGUCCGCGCUGGACCUUACUUAGAAUUUAUUGGUUUGUAUAUCGCCGUUUAUUGAUUAUCUUUUUAGAGUUUUUAAUUUUCUGGUUUCUUUAUUUUGGUUUAUUUCAGGUCAAGGUGCAGCUUGUUUUUAAGUGAAUGAUGGAUUACAUUGUUAUUUGUUUUUGGAUUGUUAGUUUUGAUAUUGAUAUGAAAUUGGAUUUGGUUGUAAUAAUUUGUAGAUUGUUAUUGUGAUAAGUGGUUCUGGGAUAUGCACACAUCGCCCGUCGCU